CAUUUUUUGCCUUCAAGUUUAUCGAUUUUUUAUUUUGUGCACAAAGGGAGAGGCUUGGCAAUAUGUGGUCCAAUGAUAUUGUCAAGUUCCAAGGCUUUCAUCUACCCUCAUGAUCUAUGACCUUAACAACAUGAGAUCUGCAUUCAGUUCCCCAAUUGUAUGGCUACAAGGAUUGUUCUAGGUAUAGGUUUGGGUGUAGAAUAGAUAAACAGGGGAUGGAGAGGGAAAGAGAAAGUAAUGAUAGUGAGAUUAACAUGUAGAUUUGAAUAUUGAUGUCAACAUAAAUGAUGAUGUUGCUAAUUUUUCAUGUGUUUU
rnacentral:lncRNA from 1 species